rnacentral:rRNA from 1 species
UGACCUAACUGCAAAGAAGGAGCUGCCGAAGGCGGGACCGAUGACUGGGGUGAAGUCGUAACAAGGUAGCCGUAUCGGAAGGUGCGGCUGGAUCACCUCCUUUCUAAGGAA